GUCAGCAUGGUGUAGUGAUCAAGUGUUGGACUACAAUUCUGGAGACCAGGGUUCGAUUCCCUGCUCGGCCA